AAACAUGUCUUUUUGAGUUAUUUUUAAAGUUUGACCUGCCCGGUGAAUAAUUUAACGGCCGCAGUAUUUUAACUGUGCAAAGGUAGCAUAAUCAUUAGUCUUUUAAUUGAAGGCUGGAAUGAAUGGUUGGACGAAGUAUGAGCUGUUUCAUAUAAAUUUAUAAUAGAAUUUUAUUUUUUAGUUAAAAAGCUAAAAUAUAAUUAAAAGACGAGAAGACCCUAUAAAUCUUUAUAUUUAUUUAUAUUUAAAUUUUAUAGAUGUGUUUUAUUUUUUUAAAAAUAAAUAUUUUAUUGGGGUGAUAUUAAAAUUUAAUAAACUUUUAAUUAAUAAAUUCAUUAAUUUAUGAUUUGUUGAUCCAUUAAUAAUGAUUAUAAGAUUAAGUUACUUUAGGGAUAACAGCGUAAUUUUUUUUGAGAGUUCAUAUCGAUAAAAAAGUUUGCGACCUCGAUGUUGGAUUAAGAGAUAAUUUUAGGUGUAGUAGCUUAAAUGUUAAGUCUGUUCGACUUUUAAAUUCUUACAUGAUC
rnacentral:rRNA from 1 species